AAGUCUCUGUGUUUCAACACAGAUUGGAUUUUGCCCACUGAGAUCUUCAGCUUGCUCUGCCUCAUUUAUCAUUGAGAUGGGCUUCACAGUGUCAGAAGCAACCGCAGCAGGUGGUGUACAAAGCUGAUGGCUGGUGGUCGAAUGCACCAGAUGUCCAGCCAAAGCAGACAUGACCAAAAGAACCUGGAAGGAAAGCAACAGAAAGGAAGCAUUCAGGGAAUGGAGCAGACACUGAAAUUGGACUUUGGAAAAAAAGCUAUCAGCACAUUUGGCAGCUUCCAUGGAAAGGUCUAUGUGGCCCAGAACUGAGGUCUCUGGCCAGCAAUCAUGUUGAAGCCAUGAAAUGAGAAUUGUAAUUCCAUUGCACUCCCUGUUAAGAUGCACUCAGAGAGGAAAGCUAAACGGUCAUGAUCUGAACACCCUGGAUCCAUGAGUCAAAAUGACUCUUCCCUGGUGUUGUUUCUGUCAGUUAUUCCGUCACAGUGAUGAAAAACUGACUAUCAAGAAGGCAACGUCCACCUCCCUCCCUCCUCCAAACUCAUGUGCUGUAUCUCAAAGACAAUUAUUCUGAAAUUGUCAAAAACAUUUUUGGAGAAAUAUUUUUUUUAACUUUCAAACUUGGUUGUUUUCAUAUAAAAUAUGUAUGUAAAAGAUGAUAUAACAAUUUUCAAUAAAAUGUAAUUUUAU